rnacentral:lncRNA from 1 species
UUCAAGAGUCACACCUUUACAAACAAGUUCUUUCCUACUGAGAAAGAAGAAGAAACUUUUAAGCAGGACCAAAUCACUCAUAUGUGAGCCAGUUGUGACCUGGGCCUGAUCCACUCUGCAUCAUUGCAGAUACCAAGCACUGUUACCAGUUGUCCACAUGAAAGAUGCUGCAGCAGGGAAUACACUCUUGAGCACCAACUGAUACUCAGGUCAUGUUCUUUACGUGCCCCAGUGGGAGCCAACUCCUGCUGUUGAUGUGGAGUACCUACAAGAUCAAAACAUCCUACAAUGUUGAGCCUCUACAAAAAAAGAAUGGACUCACCAGAUUGUCUUGCAGAUACAAAGGAAGCUGCAAAUGCAAGAAAUAAACAUCUGUCUUGUUAAAUCACAUCGAAUUGAUGAUAUUUAUACUGUAUCUUAACCUGGCCUGUCUUGAUAAUACACUAUAUAGUAGCAGUGAUGUGCAGAUUAUCUUGCAAAAUAAGGAUGAUCUUAAGUCAUCAGAGGAAGCGGGGGGAG